UUGCUCAGGCUAUAUAAAAAUACCCUUUCCACUCUUGUCCGCUGCGGCAUCUCAAGAAGGAGGGUUGGGUCUUCACAGAAAUACUUCACAGGAGAAUUUCCUCAAAGUGGGAUUUAGCCUCUUCUCGGUGGUGUUUUGUGUCUUUUUGAAAUGAAGUUUCUAUUCCUGUCAAUUUUUUUUCUUCAUCUUUUGAUUACAACCCUAACAAAGGAUGAGUAUGAAUUCGGUGAUAUCAUUGAAUUCCCCAGAAAAAAAUGUGGUAUUACAUACAAGCACUUUGCUUUGUAUGUGGAUGAUGAGUACCCUGGCAAAGGUGACAUAAUACAUCGCACAGGCAACAAAAAAUCCAAAGAAAAUGAUAGGAGUAAUGAUAUUGGUUAUGGCAACCUUGAAGCCGAAGGACCGAAUAACAAAAUGAAACUUCCGAAGGACUCUCCUGAACUUAACAAGGAGGAAAUCAAAAAACGUAUUGAACUGGUGCUUAAUCACCCUACGGACUACAGCUUACGACAUAACAACUGUGAACACUUUGCUACCUAUCUGCGAUUUGGUGUAGGUGUUUCAAAUCAGGAUGGCACUGUUGCCAGGCAUGCAAUUAAACGCUGUAGAAACAAUUUAAUCGGGGAAGAAAUGAAGAAACAUGAAGACAUAGAAAGAAGUGAUUGUUCAGGACCCUCUAAUGCUGUUGCAGGUUAAAACUGAGUUUUCUGAGCAGAAAUUCUAAGUUCUGUUUACAUAUGAUGAAAAUUAAAUUCAAGCACUUAGCAA